rnacentral:rRNA from 1 species
GAUGAACGCUGGCGGCGUGCCUAAUACAUGCAAGUCGAGCGAACGGACGAGAAGCUUGCUUCUCUGAUGUUAGCGGCGGACGGGUGAGUAACACGUGGAUAACCUACCUAUAAGACUGGGAUAACUUCGUGAAACCGUAGCUAAUACCGGAUAAUAUUUUGAACCGCAUGGUUCAAAAGUUAAAGACGGUCUUGCUGUCACUUAUAGAUGUAUCCGCGCUGCAUUAGCUAGUUGGUAAGGUAACGGCUUACCAAGGCAACGAUGCAUAGCCGACCUGAGAGGGUGAUCGGCCACACUGGAACUGAGACACGGUACAGACUCCUAGGGGAGGCAGCAGUAGGGAAUCUUCCGAAAUGGGCGAAAGCCUGAAGGAGCAACGCCGCGUGAGUGAUGAAGGUCUUCGGAUCGUAAAACUCUGUUAUUAGGGAAGAACAUAUGUGUAAGUAACUGUGCACAUCUUGACGGUACCUAAUCAGAAAGCCACGGCUAACUACGUG